rnacentral:tRNA from 1 species
AAAUGAGAAACAAAAUAAUUGUGUUUAGUUUCGACCUAAAAUAUAUUGGUGUUGGCCCACCCUCAUUUA